UACGGAGGGGGCUAGCGUUGUUCGGAAUUACUGGGCGUAAAGCGCACGUAGGCGGCUUUGUAAGUUAGAGGUGAAAGCCCGGAGCUCAACUCCGGAAUUGCCUUUAAGACUGCAUCGCUAGAAUUGUGGAGAGGUGAGUGGAAUUCCGAGUGUAGAGGUGAAAUUCGUAGAUAUUCGCAAGAACACCAGUGGCGAAGGCGGCUCACUGGCCCGGUACUGACGCUGAGGUGCGAAAGCGUGGGGAGCAAACAGG
rnacentral:rRNA from 1 species